rnacentral:misc_RNA from 1 species
AAGUCGUAACAAGGUUUCCGUAGGUGAACCUGCGGAAGGAUCAUUAACACUUUUUCAAAAAGGUUUUUCUUUUAAGAAAAACUUAUUCUACCCACCUUUUGGAUGAACUUUUUUUGAUGGAGAUAUGGCAACAUUUUUGUUGUUAUUUUCUUUAUCAUUUUUUUCAUUAUUUCAAACUUUUUAACCCCAAAAAACCAAUUUAUUUACAAAUUGCUAUAUCUUGAAAAAGCCUAACAUGUGUGUGGGUUUGUGCUGUGUGAUCAAUGCAAGUUGAUCACCACCAACUAAAACUUAUCACUCAAGAAAUCCUAAAAACUAAGAAAACAACUCUUAACAACGGAUAUCUUGGCUCUC